rnacentral:misc_RNA from 1 species
UCGUUUGAGAUCACUAAUCAAUGCAAGAAUUUUUUCUCCAAGAAUAAUAAACAACAGAAUCCAAAAAUUAUUAAAAAGCCCUAGCAAAAAUUUUUACGUCCGUAAUUUAAACCUAACACUUUUAUUUUUCAUAUUACCGCCGUGAACGGCGGCCGACGUCUAAUCAUAAUGAUUCCGCCGGCCCGGAAUGGCGGAGAAACAGCUAUUUGAACGGCCAAGCGAUCGUGAGGCGUCCUUCUUUGGAGAGUCCAGCGAUCGUCGGAGAAGCUGUUUCAUAGCCGAAAUCAAAUCCUCAGUUGGAUUCAGAGGAGGAAUUGAAGAUUUGAAUGCUUUGUGAAACUUCAUAUGCCGCUUCACAGCUUCACCGGUAGUGAUUUUGCUCUGAGAUCUCAGAGACUCGUCUUUCACAGCUUCCGCACAGAGUCCACAAAUCCAUCGCCCUUCGUAUCUCUCCCGUACACGGCUGAUGUACGCCGGAGUACACUCCUCCGUCAAUCCACAGCACUCGCAUUUUACAGACUCCACGUCCAUUACUUGACUGUUAUGCUGCGUCACGGGAGCCGUCUGCUCCAUGCCGGAUAUCACCUUCGUAAUCGUCGUCACUUUCGCCGCCAUUGUUGUCUUCUUCAAUCAAGCUCUGGAAUUUUCUUCUCUCUGGAUGGUUUGGAAUUUGGAUCGUUCCUUUUUAUGCUUCUUGAUUGAUCUCUUCCGUUGAAGAUAUGGAAAUCCGAGAAAAGUUGAUUUGGAUUUGGAUUUGGAUUUG